UACAGGGGGGGCAAGCGUUGUUCGGAAUUACUGGGCGUAAAGGGCUCGUAGGCGGCCGGCUAAGUCCGACGUGAAAUCCCCAGGCUUAACCUGGGAACUGCGUCGGAUACUGGCGGGCUUGAAUCCGGGAGAGGGAUGCGGAAUUCCAGGUGUAGCGGUGAAAUGCGUAGAUAUCUGGAGGAACACCGGUGGCGAAGGCGGCAUCCUGGACCGGUAUUGACGCUGAUGAGCGAAAGCUAGGGGAGCAAACGGG
rnacentral:rRNA from 1 species